UACCAGCACCCCGAGUGGUCGGGACGAUUAUUGGGCCUAAAGCAUCCGUAGCCGGUUUUUACAAGUCCUCCGUUAAAUCCAACUGCUUAACAGAUGGGCUGCGGAGGAUACUAUAAGACUAGGAGGCAGGAGAGGCAAGCGGUACUCAGUGGGUAGGGGUAAAAUCCUCUGAUCCAUUGAAGACCACCAGUGGCGAAGGCGGCUUGCCAAUACGCGCUCGACGGUGAGGGAUGAAAGCUGGGGGGAGCAAACCGG
rnacentral:rRNA from 1 species